CACUCCUCGAGGGUGAGUUACUCUGCACGGAUGGGGAACCAUGUUUUCCACCCUUCGUUCCAAGUCGCGGCCUGCCGCGACGUACUCUUCGACCUGAACAAGUAGUUUCAUGCGAUAUAUGUUACGUUUCACAGUCAAAGAGCGAAAGAAAGAGAAAGGGGUCAGAAAGAGAAGAACGAUCUUCAGUAAUGACACUGGCCAACAGUAAAUAUGUAAUCUUUGUUUAAGUAAUCAAUUCUAGGCUCGUUAUGAUCCUAAUUAUGAAGAUAAGAAUUCGAUAAAUAUAGUAACUCUACUUUUUCUGAUACAGGGACCGAGAGUGGAAAUGUUGUAGUACCUAAAGAAGGGAACUUUCGCCUACUUUUACAUUUUCUAGCAGACGGUCAUUUGCUUCGUCGUUUUUUAUAACGAUACAUAUUAUGUGUUUCGUUCGAAAUAUUCAAGUACAGGACCAGCUAUGAAACAUACCUGAGCGAGUCAUGACCUGACGAAUGUUGUUUUGGACAAUUUUAUAACUCACUGCUAACCAGUUCUCUAAUACUCGUGUCAAAGUUUUCCAAAAGGCAGAACACUUAUUUUAUUACUGUUGAAAUUAUAGCAAAUACUUUAGAAAUGUAACGCGCAGAACAUAUUUUUUAUAGAUUGAGUUUAUUUCGUUUCUUUCAUUUCUACGAAGGUCAUUCAAUGUAACAUAAAACACUAAUUAGAUAAAGAAUGUACUACAUAUCGACUUGGUAAGUUACUCUAACAAGCAAAAAGCGACGAAAGUAUCGGUUUUUAAUUUUGUUAACAAUGACGCCCCAAUGCUAAUAAUCUGAACAAAAAUUAACAGUGAUAUCUAUUACUGCAAAAAUAUAAUUAUAGCAUCCUUGAAAGUUUUCACCUUUCUUUCGUGUUUUACUAUUUUUUUAAUCAAAAAAUCUGAAAAUAUUCCAUAGUAUAUAUCUUCUUAUCCGAAAUGUCUCCGAUUUGUUGUGUUCAAAAUUUGUCGUUUGAUAGUACUGGAAUAUCUCCUCCCCAAUUAAAAGCCAUUCAAGAUACAGACUUGAAAUCUGCCAUGUAUUAUUUUUUUCUCUCAAUAAGCUAUCGAAUUUGUUUUAGGGGCCACUUUCGAAUCCCUCAUUCGUCUAAAUUUCUAAUUAAUCUCACACGUGAUGAAUCGACUCUUAAGAGUAAUAAACUACUCUUUCCUUAACGUAGAAUUGAUGAAAAUAUGAAACAUGAAAUAAGAAUAUCGAGGUUGAUGUACAAAUCUGAAUACUUUUAUUCACUGAUAUCUUCGCGCUGACAAUUAAAGAGUCGCAUACAAUUAACAUAAAUCAGAACAUUGAUAUCGAUACACCGAUCGAAGAACAGUGGAAACUGUUGUAAACAAACGCGUAUCGGCACGUGUACUCGUUAUCAAUGUCCCAACCUCGGUAGUUACCUAUAUUUAAAUAUCUAUCGUUAAUUUCUCGAAACACCCUUUAUUUCGCCAAGAAAAGUGUUUCUCUAAGUCUUGUUUAUAUGUAUAUUUCACAAGGGAGUCCGAACUGGUAGAAAAUUGGAACGGAAACGAAAACCACUUAAUAUCAGACUUACACAGACACUUAACCGAUAAGUUUGUUAACGCUAGUUUAGUCUCCCAACUAAGUAGCCUGCUCUUCAAUUAAUUAAUUGUCGAAUAAUGCUUUACGCGCAAGCAGUAAUUCUUUCUAUGAGAACCGAUUACAAAUGCUUGACUUUCGAGGCGUCUUUCUAUUCGAUUUGAGACCAACUGGCAAGUAAUUUCAUUUUCCUUUCGAUAAUCUCAAGGUAGUAAGAUUCGAAAUGAGUCGACAUUCGUAAGUUAAAUCGGACAGUUGUUUUUCAUACGGUAAAAGUAAUCACGUCGAUAGAUAAAAUUCAAUCGAAACUAAUUUACGUAUUAUUCGUUAUUCCUGUGCAGUGAAAACCAUUUUAGUACGACUUAACGUGACAAAAAAAUCUUAAGGAGUUAGCACACUUUAAAACUAUGAAAUAAUCGAAUGUUUGCUUUAAACAUUUACUUAUUUCUUAAAAGACCGUAAGCAAAAAAAAAAUAUUUUGAUGUACUUUAAGAUUUGUGUAAUAAAUGCAUUUCACCAGAUUUCUUCUAAGUUCUACCAUAACCGAGAAGUAAAAUGACAAAAAGAGGCGAUGCUUCGGGGUGUCAAAGUGGCCUAACCCUCAUAGUAUAAUACGAUUCCUUUCACUUAGAUUUAAAUUUAAAAGAAUUAUAAUUUGACGAAGGAUCUCAAUAUCACGAAAUACAUUAUAAUGAUAUAAAAAAUGAUACCACCCUGACUAAACAGUUAUGUCAAAGACGAUUGCUAUUCUUUUCAUAACAUCAAGCAAUGUUAUCUAUGGAAGAGUACUUUAAGUAUGUAGUGAUAAUACGAAUCAGAGUAUCAGAAAAAUAUUUUACACUAAAUUCAUCGACGUCUUUGACAUUUAAAAAUAUCCGUACGUAUUAUUACAAAAUACAAAAAUCCUACUGGGCUUCUCAUUAAAUCCAACAUAAAAUAUUUUCUCAUAAAGUAGGAAGACUUACGACAAUUUGAAUGAUAACGAUGAGAACUCUCAUUCCAAGAAUAAGUCAUCCAGAGUGGGCUCAUAUUUUUGAAAGAAAAAAAAAAAAAAAAAUUAGAAUUGGAAAAAUUUCACAACGAUUCACCUCUUAAUAAAAAAUUUUCAUUUCGAUGUUCAGAGUGAUUUUAAGUUUUGCGAACACGAUACGUACUUAGAAAUGUCACAAAUCGAAUAAAGAAACACGGCCAUUUAUUCUUACAAUUUUUAGCUUAAACAGUAAAAACGAAGAACCGAACAAAAAUAGGAACUUAAAAUAAUACGAAAUAUUUAAACAUUCUAUUAUCAUGACUGGAUAUUCGCAAACAACUAAAAUUCUUGCAGCGUAAAUCCGAUUAAAUAACCAUUCCUUAUUGAAUUGUUUAUUUAAAUAUUGCUGUCAAUACACCUUCUUAAUAAAUGGAUUAACCAAUAAAGCGAUUAAUAAGUUAGAUAAGCAAUUUAAUAAGCGACCGGAAAAGGAACUCUAUCGAAAAACCUUUUAACCAUUUUGCAGUCCUAAUGUUUAACUAAGAAGUUGUAUCAUACAUUCAUCGACGGUUCGUGGAUAGUUUAAAUGCUUAUCUUAAUAACAAAUGAUAACUUCUGUAAGAAUGAAGCCAACUGACUAAGUUAACAACAAUUAAUCAGUGGUUUCUCAUGCAUUCCUAUUUUCAUUUUUGUUUACGACCACUGCUUAAUCAUUUACUUUGAAGAAUUAUCUAUAAAAAUGUCUUCACGCAAAUCAAUGUAAAGUACCAUAGAAGACUGCAAAAUGUUUACAAUGUUCUCUUCCGUGGUUUCAUUGCGAAUAUCAGCCUGUACAGAUAAUUGCACAUUUUAAUUACCUAUUCGAUUAUUUAUCGAUCCACCCGUUUUACAUGUUCGGAACCAAAUCACAUGUAAACGGGUAAAGGUAAUUUGAUAUCUUGAAAAAAAUAAUUUACCAAUCUAAUUUGAUACUUAUUCGCUAUUUAUUAGUAUUUAUCACACACAUUCGAACCAAAUUCAUCUGAAACUAAUUUACCUGAAAUCGUUGAAAAAAAUUACAUUCGAAACGAAAAAACUCGUUCCACUUUUUAACUAAAAUACUAGAAUAUCACAUAAUUAAAAAUUCAUGUACGAAUGUAUCCGUUUGCUUCAAGUUUCAUUCUAAACGAUUCCUUAAAACUGAAACGUUCAUUCGGAGAAGAAAAUUGCAAUUAUCUGUUCAGAAAUUCUCGUAAUUGUAAGUACAAAAGCUUAUUUUCAUUUCUUAUCGUAGACAUUAGUAUUCUUUCACAUAGCGAUAAUUAGAACAGAAAAAAGUAAACGAUUAUUCAGUCGUUUGUGUGAAUAAUUAUGAAAUAUUAUUAUUAUUAUGGUGUGUAUGUAUGAAUGUAUGUGUGUGUAUGCUAUGCACUUAGGACAGUAUACAAUAAUAUGCCCUACUAAAUAAAUUUACUUAGAUUAAAGCAAGAUAAAUUUCUACGUCAGAAGAGAGAAAAUUCGAAGAAAAUACACUCGGUGUUUUUCCUUCUACACAUAUACAUGCAAACUUUUGAGAAAAUAUGUCGAAAAUUUCAAUUCCGAUUCCUUCUUUUUCUCUUGUUAAUUUUAUUCAUUCUUCGUAGAAAUUUUAGAAAUACUCUUUUAAUAUAAACUUGAGCGCCUUAUGUAUGGACUUCUUUAUUUUGCGCAACUACAGGAAAAUUAACUUCGUAGAUUUUUUGCAAAAAAGACGUCCGUAAAGUGUCCCAGACUUCGAAUUUUCACUUUUUUUAAAAAUAUCCCUCCAACUAAUUCUCGUACAAAGAAUUUCUACGCUAUGCUUCAAGUUUUUUUUUUUUAUUUUUUUUAAUAUUAUUAAUUUGCGUUUAUUGCGGCUGAAAUUCCGAAAAUAUCCUACGAGAUUAUUCUCAGCAAUUAUCAAGUAAACACGUUCACGUAUGCUUCGAAAUAUCUUUUUAUCUUGCAAAAAACCUAGAAGUCUGGUUUACCUCCGAGCCCUCGGUAAAAAUUCUACAAUCUAAUUCUUAUGAUUUUUCUAUAAAAAUUUUUGAAUCUAUCAUUUGUAAUCCGUUGCAAAUAUUUUGAGGUAUAAUAUUUACUAUAACUCGCUUGAAACUGAAUGUUCGGUAUACAUCGGAUAUUUGUUUUUUUUUUUGUUCUUUUGCAAGAAACAGUUCAAUCCUAAUCUUCUUCAGACUCUCUGCAAAAGUUCUAAGUUGCAAUGUUCUUACUGUUUCGCAAAACAUAACACGUUGGAAUGCAAAGCUGGUGAAUUUUGAAAAACAUUUUACUUUAUUUCUUUCCAGAUACCCUGGCACCUCGUAUCGUUGCCUUAUCAACGUGUUUAAGUAUACCUUUUUUUCAUGUUCUCACGAAAAUUGUACUUCCCCCUCUUUAGCUCUUGUUUACAUUCAGAGAUCAAUAUUUUGUUUGUUCGUUAAUAACUGCAAUUGUGUUUGGAAUACUUUUGCAUACAUUCGUAGUUCAAAAAUUUCUCGUUUUCCUUUUCUUCGAAAAUUCGUGGAACUUUCUAUUUAUACGCUUCUGCAAAAAAUUCUGAAGAACAAUAGCUUCUAUUUAUUCACAAGAUUUUUUAUUUCAAUAUCCACAAUUACUCCGCGAAGGUUUCAAGAUUUAUCCAUUUUUUAUUUUUAGAGAUUUAAAAAUCUUAUGAAUACAAUAAUCCCAAAUCGUUGCAAAAAUGUCUACAACGGUACGUUUCCUAUUGCUUUCCCUCUGCGCGGAUUUAAUUCAAUUCGUUCAAUUGGCCAUAAAAAUGUCUGGAGUUUAAUCUUCCGAAUUCUUUGCGAAAAAUACUGAAGAAUAAUGAUAUCCAUUUUUUGCAAAACUUUUUGUUCCGUCAAACAUGUACAAUAAAAAUUUUGUCGCGAAAUUUGCCAAGUUGUAGUUCCGGUUUUAAUUUGAAUUUCGUGCGCACGUUCGUUUGCAAAAAAGGAUUUCCCAAAAUAGAUUUGCAAAAAGUAUUGCAUUAUAUCACCUUGGAUUCUCGUUCGGUGAAUUGUUUAUCACUGAAAUUAACAACCGGGAUCUUAUUUAACGCAGAAAGCUAUAAUUUACAGCUCGAUAAUUUUUCAUUAUUUCAAGAUAAGUAUUAAUCGAUAAAUAUCUUAUUAGUAGUGCUUACUUUAUGCUAAAGUAGUUCUUAUUCAUUUCUUAAACGAUACGCAAGUUGAAAAUUCGCCGAAAAUAAAUAAACACCACGCCGAGAAUGAUAACCGAGAAGAAACAAUAUUUACAUGUUUACCUUGAAUUUAUUCGUAAAGCUUGUCGAAAUCAUAGCAAAAGAGCGUAGACGUCGAACCGAAAUUUGUUAACGUUAAUUCCAAGCCUUGAGUACUAAUACUGUCAAUAACAAUGUAUAUUUAAAUUAAUAAUCACAGGUGUCCCACUUCUAUCUUUCCACGCGAUUGUCAUCAAACCUUCGAUUCUAUUUCGAGUAAAUAUGCUGUUGGCCUAUAUUUCGUUCCAAAUUUAGGCGAUUUCAGAUUCUACCGAUGCUAUUUUUUCUUUGCUUUCUGGUUACCUAAAUGUUAUUUAAAGACAUCCUACAAAUUUGAUUUUCUCUUGUUGCAUUUUCUCGGAGUUUUAAGUAUAGAGAAAAUAUAUCGAACGUGUUCCAGUUCAAAAAACCGUGCAAAUCAACAAGAAUCUGUUUUCCUGUUUAUCAUUUUAUACCGUAAUAAAUUUUUAUGCAAAGGUGAUCGUGUUAUAUACAACUUAAAAAUAUUGUAGUCUCUUUCGUGAAUGUAUGCUUUAUUUAGACCGUUACAUAAAUUAUGGAGAGGAAGCAAAUUCGAACUAUCAUUUCAUAAGAGUUCAGGCUGAACAGUAAAACAUCGAAAAAAUCUCGUAAUAUCAACGAUGCUUUUAACCCAAGUUUUUUUUUUUGUAAACUCAUGGUGUAAUUUACUGCUUCCAAAACCCCGUAAUUUAUGCAAUUUGAAUAAACGAAUCUAUUUCACGUUGGCAAGAAUGUGUUGAUUCCAGUCAUUCUUAUUCUGAUUAAUGAAGUUUGAUUUUAGAAGUGCCAACAAAUUUCUCCCUCGAAAUAGAGCAAGUUUGAAGAUGGUCGCGUGGAAAGACCCAAAUGAGACUUGAAUUUAUACAAGGUGUUCAGAAACACGCGAAGCAGUUUCCUCAGGUUUCAUUUCUCAUAAACAAGGAAAUAGUCAUCUACCACUUUUCAAUCUGAGAUCUUCGUUACUAUAUCAGUAGUUAAGAUACAAUUGCAACCUUUGGCCUGUAAAUUAACAGAGUAAAUUACCUGGCCAUUAGAUUGAGACUAAGUUGGGACCACCAUGUUGUCUCAACUCGGUGGACAGAGGAAUUGAAAUUCAAUCUGCUCUUGCCCCUCUCCCCAAAUUUUAUUUUGGGUAAAAGAGUAUGAAAUAGUAGAGAUCUCUGAGAAAUGGUCAAAGCCAGCUUUUGCAACCUGAUAUAUUGUCUGUCAAAAUGACGGGGAAUCACUUCGUCUCAACCCGAGGGACGUUACUGUAUUACUAGAAAUGAUCACAAAUGUGGAAAACAGACUUUUGAUUAGUAUUGCCAUGAGUUAUCCUGACGAAAGGUCGCACAUGUCUGAGCCCUGUUAAUUUGAACACCUUGUAUGUACAUGUAGAAUCAACUAUUAUCUUAUGAAAUAUUUCCUCUACCUUUGGUAUUUAAAAAAAAAAAUGUUUUCUACAGUGUUGCAUGAUUUCGCUAAGAGUAACGUACACUAACACUAUUUUAAAAGACAGCAAUCCAAAAUAAUUGUCAGAACAGAAAUCGUUCGGAUUGUCGUGUGUGUUGCGUGCACUAAUAAAUAGGGUAAUUAAAUUGUUUUGUCUGAAGUAUACAAUAAUCCAAAUGAUAUUGACUGAAAAGAGAAUAUUUUCAUGUUAUAAAGUUUUAAAUAAUGAAAACUAAAGUAUACGUAUAUAACAAUAUUCUUGAAGGGUUCAAUGUUUUCCUACGCAACAUUAUAACAUUUUUUUUGAAAAUAUAACAUCUAGAAUUUAAGGUAAUUUAAAAUAAUAAAUUGUGAAUAUAAAUUCAUAUUGAUAGUAAAUAUCUCUUAAUUUUCGUAAUUAGAUCUUCAAUGUUUAAUAAUGUAAAUGUUUAUGAACACACGAUGUAGGAAACACUGUCGUCUGUGCGUGUAAACAUCUUCCACCUUGAUAGAUUUAUCAAAAUUUACAAUAUACAACACUGUAAAACAAUGUUUUUCUUUUUUUAACACCACUGGAUGUAAAGUAAACAUCAUACGAUAAUGCUAUACAGGACACAUGGUAUAUAUCACUCAAUAGAUGAGCAGUAAUCCAAUUUUUUAACAUAAAACAAAUUUCGUCAGCAUUUUUCAUCUCUUAUUAAUCGAUACAUUUCGUCACAAUAAUACGUACGUACGCUGUCAAAUGAAUUAAAAGUUAUUCGACAUGAAACAAUUUAAUUUAAAAAAGAACUUUAAAGCGGAACAUUUCGCGAAAGAAUUGCACCGCUGCAAUCCAAUUGAUAAUCCAAUUAUACAUUAUCAAUUAACGCGACAUUAGUGUACUGAUACCUUUAAGUAUACGAUUAAUAUCUAAUUGCUCAUCGAUCACUUCGGCAAUGAAUAGACUGAUAAGUUAUACUUUAAGGCUUUAGUUUUCAGUAUUUCAGUUUCAGUUGUUGCGCAAAGCUAUCGUAAAAAUUGUACAUAAUCGAAGCGUAAAUUCGGCGUACACAACGAAACUGAUAAACGAUCACAUUCAUAAUUAAGACCACUCAGCUAUCGUUCUAAGUUAAACGCUAAUCAAUGGUUCGCACUUCGAACUGUGAACGAAAGAAGAAUUUUUAAUUUUAUAUGAAACUGCAUUAAUACGUCUCACGUACAAGUCUAGCAAGAAGUAUAAGAUAGCAGGAAAUUACGUGAAAAUUACAUGUAACCCUAUGGAGUUUUAAUACUGAUGAACUAACUACACUUACACUCGAGACAUUGCACUAUCGAUUACUGUAUAACUGGUGGAGCAAAUCUAGCGAUCUAGAUCAGACACGAGCGAUCCGUCGAGACAAUCUUGUUGGAUACCGGUUAUCAAUUGUUUUUCACUAUAGGAAAACGAUCUACAA